UUGCCAUGUGAGAAACACCUGUUUGCAUUCCUGCAGUAUUUUACACUCCUGAUUGCUUAACACCUGUGAGAGAAACAAGAUGGGGAUUUCACACUGGAGGUCAUAUAAAAUCAGGACAGUUAAGGGUGAAUUCACUCAGUUCGCACAACAAAAGGGUGUUAUUUACCUGCAUAUAAUGGCUGUUUGUGAAACAAAUUGUACAGAACUUUUACAAAAGUCUGACUACAUCCUGAGGAACGCUGGACCAUGAGAUAUCCUGUUUUCCACUUGGUUUACAAAGAAAACUCAGUGUCAAGAGAACUGAAGACUGGGAUGUGCUGGACUAGUAAAUUUAUCUGAAGCCAAGAAUGCCCCUGGUUUGGCUCUGGAAAGAGUACUAAGCAGCCAAGGACAUUUGGAUGGUCAAAUCCAACCCAGUACGGUCUUCUGCUGAGCCUGCUCUGUGAUGCACUACUGACACAAAGCUGCUGCACUUUUUCCCUGGACAAGAAUGAUGGUUUCUCAGAGAGAGUGCAGAAGUCAUCUUUGGAGUCUGGAUGCUGUUUCUGCUUCAGAGUCUCUCUGCCAUAAAAGAAGCAUCCACACAGCCUUCUUCCUCUGCUGCUGCCCGUGAGAUGAAGGUCCAGAUCAUUGCCUUUCAAGGAGAGGCAGAGAUCCUUGUCUUUCAGUGCCCUGUGUGCUAAGCUUUCUCGCUUCCAGCAGUGGGGAAGGGUCAGAGACUGUGUUGUUGUUGUAUGCAUCCUCGGUGGCAUUAUUAACUGGAGCUUUUCAAACAGAUGAAGUAUGUUACUGUGGCUAAAUUGUAAUGAAAGAAGAGAUGGCUGUUUGCCAAUAAAUGAUGCUAUAUGCAACAAAGUGCAGAGAUGGACUAUAGGCUUCCAGCAAGUUACCAACUUUACUGCCAAGGAGGGUGCUAAGAUAGGCAGUCUCCUGGAUACUGAGCUGAUUGUUGUGUGAAAAGUGCAGUAAAGACACCUUUCUACACUGAAAGAAGCUAAAGUGAGUGUUGAGAGAAAUACUGCUGAUAAAAGUGUGUAUUAAAAAUGAAAACAGACAAGAGGAUGUUAAGUACAAAAAAGAAGAUGCUUGGAGUUGAUGGCUGAGCACAAAUAGCUGCAUACAGAUACAUAAGACAGAUAAGAGAAAAGAAGAAAAAUCACGGCGAAAAAAAACAACUUACAGUAUGCAAAGCAUCCCCUGCUUUCUUGAAGACAAUGUAUCGUAUCAUGGUGGGGAAAAAAAAGAAGAAAAAAAGCAGAUUUCUCUGGACAGCAAUCAUCCUUCAGCUUCUGAGAAAAAACAGUUUGACUGGACAAGAGGACAAAGAAAAGUGGUCCCUUGGAUAAGUGGCAAAGAGCUUCCUUUCCCUGAGUCCAAGGGCCUGUGACCUACCCGCCAUUUUGUCCCCUCGUGCCUGGUCUGCUCAGGAGGAGAAGCGCAACGUGGAGCACGCCAGGGCUCCAGCACACCCUACAUCAGCCCGACAAAGCUGGUUCCUUCCCGCCCACACAGCCAGAUCAAACAGCCAUCAGGAAACAAUCUGGGAGCCAUACUCCUGCUUGGUACUGCCGCCGGGGCAGUGUAACAGGGCGGGGGGCAGUGCUGUUUCUAGCACAUUCCAAUUGACAACAUCUGGGUCAGCUCCGUUCUGAGCAGCUGCCUUUGCCACAGCCCCUGCUGCAUUGCCUUUCUCUGUGGAAAGCUUUGUUUUGGCUAGGGGUAGGUUUGUUGAGCUUUCGUGUACUGAAGUCUCACACAGAGACUUUCCCUUUGCCCGUGGCAUGUGACCCUGCCAACUUAUAGGCUUGCAUCCCCAAUAAGAAAAACAAUAAAGUUUAAAAACAACAACAACAAAAAAAGUAAAGAUUAAUUAACCUCAGGUCUGUUCUCAGCAAAGCAAAGCUGACAUGGAUAAAUAAUAAAAGUAACUUCUCAAUGGUCCUUGUGUCUGCCAGAGUCCCACUCUGUGAUCUUUCAGUCAAAACCGUGACAAGGGGAGGGGGAGGA